GCACUGCUGACGAGUCCCAGAAAGGACGAAACAGCUGUCCAGUGC
rnacentral:hammerhead_ribozyme from 1 species